CCUACGGGGGGCAGCAGUGGGGAAUAUUGGACAAUGGGCGAAAGCCUGAUCCAGCCAUGCCGCGUGUGUGAAGAAGGCCUUCGGGUUGUAAAGCACUUUCAGUGGGGAAGAAAGCCUUGGGGCUAAUACCCUCGAGGAAGGACAUCACCCACAGAAGAAGCACCGGCUAACUCCGUGCCAGCAGCCGCGGUAAUACGGAGGGUGCGAGCGUUAAUCGGAAUUACUGGGCGUAAAGCGCGCGUAGGCGGUCUGAUAAGCUGGUUGUGAAAGCCCCGGGCUCAACCUGGGAACGGCAUCCGGAACUGUCAGGCUAGAGUGCAGGAGAGGAAGGUAGAAUUCCCGGUGUAGCGGUGAAAUGCGUAGAGAUCGGGAGGAAUACCAGUGGCGAAGGCGGCCUUCUGGACUGACACUGACGCUGAGGUGCGAAAGCGUGGGUAGCAAACAGGAUUAGAUACCCCAGUAGUC
rnacentral:rRNA from 1 species